rnacentral:rRNA from 1 species
GACGAACGCUGGCGGCGUGCUUAACACAUGCAAGUCGAACGAUGAACCCGGAGCUUGCUCCGGUGGAUUAGUGGCGAACGGGUGAGUAACACGUGAGUAACCUGCCCUUGACUCUGGGAUAACUGCGGGAAACUGUAGCUAAUACCGGAUACGACCCUCGGCGGCAUCGCCAGGGAGUGGAAAGAAUUUCGGUCAAGGAUGGACUCGCGGCCUAUCAGCUAGUUGGUGAGGUAACGGCUCACCAAGGCGACGACGGGUAGCCGGCCUGAGAGGGUGACCGGCCACACUGGGACUGAGACACGGCCCAGACUCCGACGGGAGGCAGCAGUGGGGAAUAUUGCACAAUGGGCGCAAGCCUGAUUCAGCAACGCCGCGUGAGGGAUGACGGCCUUCGGGUUGUAAACCUCUUUCAGCACCGACGAAGCGCAAGUGACGGUAGGUGCAGAAGAAGGACCGGCCAACUACGUGCCAGCCGCCGCCGUAA